rnacentral:rRNA from 1 species
UAAGGAAUAUUGGUCAAUGGACGCAAGUCUGAACCAGCCAUGCCGCGUGAAGGAUGAAGGUCCUCUGGAUUGUAAACUUCUUUUAUCUGGGACGAAAACGGGAUUUUUAUCUCAAUUGACGGUACCAGAGGAAUAAGCACCGGCUAACUCCGUGCCAGCAGCCGCGGUAAUACGGAGGGUGCGAGCGUUAUCCGGAUUUACUGGGUUUAAAGGGUGCGUAGGUGGGCUUAUAAGUCAGUGGUGAAAUCUCCGAGCUUAACUUGGAAGCUGCCUUUGNUACUAUAGGUCUUGAAUUAUCUGGAGGUAAGCGGAAUAUGUCAUGUAGCGGUGAAAUGCUUAGAUAUGACAUAGAACACCAAUUGCGAAGGCAGCUUACUACAUAUAAAUUGACGCUGAGGCACGAAAGC